rnacentral:ncRNA from 2 species
AUCCGCGCGAGGGAGACGCUGCCCCCCAGAUCAUCGGGGUCAGGGCCGAAGGAGCAACCGCCCCGGUAAACUCUCAGGCAAAGGGACCUUGGCGGACCA